rfam:Bacillus halodurans C-125 DNA, complete genome.
UCUGGGGUGACCCAGAAUCUGAGGGAAGUCGGCGGCAAACCUCCGCUUCUAGGAACACGAACUUCAUAGGAGUUUGGGUAUACUUGGAAGAGGUUGCGAAACAAAUCAAAGUCCUUACUGCCGAAGGGUAUAUCAAGUAAAUGAAGAGAAGACAUGGAGGGGAAGAAUGUGUG